rnacentral:rRNA from 1 species
UACGGGGGGAGCAAGCGUUGUUCGGAAUCACUGGGCGUAAAGGGAGUCUAGGCGGUUUGGUAAGUGGGAUGUGAAAUGCCCGGGCUCACCCCGGGACCUGCAUUCCAAACUGCUGAGCUUGAGUACAGGAGAGGGUGGGGGAAUUCCAGGUGUAGCGGUGAAAUGCGUAGAUAUCUGGAGGAACACCGGUGGCGAAGGCGCCCACCUGGCCUGCUACUGACGCUGAAGCUCGAAAGCUAGGGGAGCAAACGGG